rnacentral:tRNA from 3 species
GGAUGUGAUGCCCCAACGGUUUCGGGGGGCUGUCUGUAAAACAGUCUAACCAUCAAGGGGGUUCGACUCCCUCCACAUCCAC